CAGAUCUGUCAGACUCCCACCUCCCACAGUUAAGGGGUUGUUUCCCAUUUUUGUGGUGGUGUCUAACAUUAAACAAUUCCAGAUUUGAUCCCCAACCAAGGAAUUCACAGCGAACUAGCUACAAGCAGUUGAGGGAAGAACCAGAUUUGGCACUCUUUCC
rnacentral:lncRNA from 12 species